AACUGAUACUACCUGCGGGAACCUGCGGAGGGAUCAUUCACAAUAAGUGUUUUAUGGCACUUUAAUUCCAUAUCCACCUUGUGUGCAACGUAGUUCGUUUUUCGAACAAAACAUCAACAUUUUAAUUAUCAACAGAUCGUCUGAAGUAUUAUAUGAAUAAAUCAAUUCAAAAUACAACUUUCAACAACGGAUCUCU
rnacentral:misc_RNA from 1 species